rnacentral:tRNA from 1 species
GGGCUCGUAGCUCAGUUGGUAGAGCGCGUCAUUUGCAAUGACGAGGUCUGGGGUUCGAUCCCCCACGAGUCCA